rnacentral:rRNA from 1 species
UAGGGAAUCUUCCAUAAUGGACGCAAGUCUGAUGGAGCAACGCCGCGUGAGUGAAGAAGAUCUUCGGAUCGUAAAACUCUGUUGUUAGAGAAGAACACGAGUGAGAGUAACUGUUCAUUCGAUGACGGUAUCUAACCAGCAAGUCACGGCUAACUACGUGCCAG